ensembl:lncRNA
UGUAGAUGCGUUGCUGCAAGGUUGAGUAGCACGCUAAAGGCAAAUGGUUGGCAUGUGGAGAGUCAGGAUCUAAGCCAGGAAGGCUGACUUCAGAGCCCUUGCUCUGAACCCUAAUGCAGCCUGCCUCCAAGGGUAUCAUUAUUGGUACUGAAUUGUGUCCCCUCAAUAUUCAUAUGUUGAAGUCCUAACCCCAGUACACCUCACAAUGUGACUGUAUUUGGAGAUAAGGUCUUUAAAGAGAUCAGUAAGGUUAAAUGAUGUCAUAUGGGUGGGGUCCUGGUCCAAUGUGGCUGGUGUCUUUAUAAGAAAAAGGAGACACUGAGGAUGCAUGUACACAGAGGAAAGGCCAUAUGAAGACACAGAGAGAAGACCGACAUCUUUAAGGCAAGGAGACAGACUUCAGGGGAAACCAACCCUGCUGACAUUCCAAUCUUGGACUUCCAGCCUCCAGAAACUGUACUCUGGCAGCUGGUCGCCUAGGUUUGCAGAAUUUCCAUACAUCAAUAUUGAGCUUCAGGGACCUAAGAGAAGGUAUAUGAAUACAGUGGUGCCUUAGUCAAUAUCUUCUUGAAGUCAGGAAGUGUGCAAUAAGGGAAAGACAUGCAUUCAGGACGUGAAUUCAGCAUCAAAAUAAAACCAUGAUCAGACCUAUUUCUUACCAGAAGGGUCUCAGUUUGCUUACUUGUGAAAACAAGAGGAUUGGAUUAAGUCUGUGAACUACAGCCUACGGUUUCCUGAUUCUGAAGGGUUUUUUCUUAAGAAGUAUUCUGUGAACUAUUCUCAACAUUUCAAAAGGCCUAGUGGAAAAUCUGCACUUGCUCAAGAUAACAUUGUGGGGCUUAUGGAAACAUUAAGUUUCAUAGUCUGGUUGGUAUCCUUUUUUUUCCUAUUGGCAGGAAUUUUAUCACCUUGGAGCAGUUGACACUGGUUGUCUUGUGCUGAUGAGAAGUUCCGAAGAGCAAUAUAUAUGUCAUUGGCCAUAAAAGAUGGAAAAACAAUUUAAAGAUUACUGAAGUAAAUUGGUUGUCUUUAGACCAAAAUCUUUCAAAAUAUGGAACCCAAAGGAGAACGAGAAAUAAUAAAAGGAAUCUGUAGUAGCCGAAAGGUUGAGAUUCUGAACUCUGUGAGGCCCCUCUGAGCUCCAGAAUUCCACGAUUAUGUGAUUCUAAUGAGCUAGGACAUCAAGAAUAAAAUAAAAUGGAUUUAAUUUAGAUGACAGAGAACAAUACAAACUCUAAUAAAGAAGUAAAAUAUGAAGUAAUGGCUAAUUAGAAAAGCACAUGAGAAAUGACAAAAUAUAAAGGAGAUUCAUCUUCUUCUAAGAGAGAGAAACUUGAGAAGUCAUAAUAAUAAGUUGGGACAAUGAAUUUCAAGGGAUGACUCAUUAAAACUGACAUAAAGUAUUAUGAUGACAAAAAAUGCAAACAUAAAUUGAGAGUUGUAUACCCAGAAAAAUCCAUCUAUCAGUCAACAAACAAGACUUCAGGGUAGCUUCUCAGGAUCCAGGGGGCCUGACUUUUCUAGACUGGAUUCAAAGAUAAUCAUUCAUGGUGGAUAGAAUCGAGAUGAAUAUGUUGACAAAGAUAAAAAACAGGAUGAAAUAUGCAAAACUCGGUUAAGAGAGUAACAAAUCCAAUUCUAACUCUACUUUAUGAGGCCUCACUUAUAUUUGCCCCUAAAUACAACAAAACGGACAGAAGAGACUCCAAUGGAGGGAGAUAACACUCAAAGCUGCAAUUACACAUUUUAGGGGCCAGAACAAAAUGUGAGAGAGAUUAUUCCAAGAGAGAUAUGACCAGCAGUAGUAAUGGAUUGACUUUCCCAAGUAAAAUAUGUUUAAUAUAAAAUGAUAUAAUCAAUCGAUCAAAUACAUCAAAUGGAUGUUCAUGAUAUAGUAGAAAGAGUAUCAAUUUGGGCGUCAGAGUCUUGCAAUGUUUUCAU